rnacentral:rRNA from 1 species
GAUGAACGCUGGCGGCGUGCCUAAUACAUGCAAGUCGAGCGAACAGACGAGGAGCUUGCUCCUCUGACGUUAGCGGCGGACGGGUGAGUAACACGUGGAUAACCUACCUAUAAGACUGGGAUAACUUCGGGAAACCGGAGCUAAUACCGGAUAAUAUAUUGAACCGCAUGGUUCAAUAGUGAAAGACGGUCUUGCUGUCACUUAUAGAUGGAUCCGCGCCGCAUUAGCCAGUUGGUAAGGUAAACGCUUACCAAGGCAACGAUGCGUAGCCGACCUGAGAGGGUGAUCGGCCACACUGGAACUGAGACACGGUCCAGACUCGUACGGGAGGCAGCAGCAGGGAAUCUUCCGCAAUGGGCGAAAGCCUGACGGAGCAACGCCGCGUGAGUGAUGAAGGUCUUCGGAUCGUAAAACUCUGUUAUUAGGGAAGAACAAUUGUGUAAGUAACUAUGCACGUCUUGGCGGUACCUAAUCAGAAAGCCAUGGCUAACUACGUGCCAGCAGCCGCAGUAACAC